rnacentral:rRNA from 1 species
AGUCGAACGAGAAAGUGGAGCAAUCCAUGAGUACAGUGGCGUACGGGUGAGUAACACGUGACUAACCUGCCCUCGAGUGGGGAAUAACUUCGGGAAACCGAGGCUAAUACCGCAUAACAUCUACGGAUCAAAUGCGCGAGCAGCUUGAGGAGGGGGUCGCGGCUGAUUAGCUAGUUGGCGGGGUAACGGCCCACCAAGGCAAUGAUCAGUAGCCGGCCUGAGAGGGCGCACGGCCACACUGGAACUGAAACACGGUCCAGACUCCUACGGGAGGCAGCAGUGGGGAAUUUUGCGCAAUGGGGGAAACCCUGACGCAGCAACGCCGCGUGGAGGAUGAAGCCCCUUGGGGUGUAAACUCCUUUCGAUCGGGACGAUUAUGACGGUACCGGAUGAAGAAGCACCGGCUAACUCUGUGC